UUGGUGCAACUUCCAUUGUUGUUCUGUGGAAGUUUUUUUUAGAGAAGGCUUGUCAUGGAGGUUGUAGUAUUUAUGACGGAAAUGUGGUUCCAGGGUCUAAAGAACUUUUCUAUCAGCGGAAAUAGUGAAAUAAAAAGAAACAAGAUAUUCGUAUUGAAUGACGUUGGUAAGGUGGACUUGGACUUCGGAAACUAUGAAAGUCUCCUCGAUAUUACACUGCACAGUGAGAAUAUUACUACCGGAAAAUCUUUCAGCGUGUAUCGAAUCGUACGAGACCUGAAAGCAGCAGUCAUGGUUGAAAUAUUUGAGAAAUUAAAAGAAGACGGCACUGAGUUGGCAACUCAAAGAGACUCAAGUUUUGAGCAAUAACCCUGGACCUUGGGCUUUCGUGGGGAGAGUGUGUGCAGAUGGAAUACCGUUUAUGCAUGAGGCAUUUGAAUGACAAUGACUUUAUCGAAGGCCUCCAAGCAAUGAUACUCGAUAAAGACAAGAAACCGAAGUGGAAACCAUCAAGACUAGAAGAUAUUUCUAACGAGUUGGUGCAUUCUUACUUUCUGCCACUUCCCAACGAUGCGAUGACGGACUUCCUCUAAAUGUUAAGCUGACUUCAAAAUUAUGAGCAUGCAGAAACUGAUAUCCUGUUUAACGCACAUUGACUGUUCACUCCAAAGUAAUCUCGAAUGGCAGUGACUGUUGGCUUUGUUUCAUCAACGUAGGAUUGAAAUUACAAAAGUCAUUCUGAAUGAGAGCUGCGUUGGUUGGAAAUAAGUGUUGGAAUAUUUGUUUACAGAAUAAACUUCACAAUUCAGAGAG